UGGGGAAUAUUGGACAAUGGGCGCAAGCCUGAUCCAGCCAUGCCGCGUGAGUGACGAAGGUCUUCGGAUUGUAAAACUCUUUUGGCGGGGACGAUAAUGACGGUACCCGCAGAAUAAGCCCCGGCUAACUUCGUGCCAGCAGCCGCGGUAAUACGAAGGGGGCUAGCGUUGUUCGGAAUCACUGGGCGUAAAGCGCACGUAGGCGGAUGUGCCAGUCAGGGGUGAAAUCCCGGAGCUCAACUCCGGAACUGCCUCUGAUACUGCACGUCUUGAGUUCGAGAGAGGUGGGUGGAAUUCCUAGUGUAGAGGUGAAAUUCGUAGAUAUUAGGAAGAACACCGGUGGCGAAGGCGGCCCACUGGACUGAUACUGACACUGAGGUGCGAAAGCGUGGGGAGCAAACAGGAUUAGAUACCCUAGUAGUCCCUGAGCGGGCUGGCAAGGCGCAU
rnacentral:rRNA from 1 species